CUACACUGCUGCAUUCUUCUCUGUGACCUGAGGAGGAUGACUUCUAGGGGCUGUAUUAGCUAGGUUGGGUGCCUUUGGCCUUCUCGGUAGAUUUGGCCAGUGGAAGGCAUGAGGAUACUAGAAGAUGAGAAGAAAAAGAAGUCUGGGUGUUUUCCUGCCUUCCACGUCCCUAGAGAUCUGCUCCUUGCCAUUAGGCCUAUGGGUGAUAAUAGCUUCCUGCUGAUAUUAACUCCUAAGUGUUUUAUCAUCUAUUAUAGGUAAGCUUGAUCCUGCUCCUAUCUUUUAACACAGUGUCUUUAUUAAAGGCUCUGUAAUUCCCUCUCUGAGUCCCAUCUGUGACCUACCACAACCCUGACUGAUUUAGCCACAUUGUUUUCUUUGCUCUCAGCUUAGUCUUGAAUAUGUACAAUGUGGCACACUUGCAGGUUCCUGUCACUUUUAACUAGGUCAUCGUUCACUUUACACCCCUCUAAGUGUUUGGCAAGUGAGCUCUCUUGGCACUCUAAGGCAGUGCUUCCCUAACUUUAAUGACUUGCAUGCACAUCACCUGAGCCAUUUGUUACAACGCAGAUCCUGACUCAGAGGUCACGAGUGGGGCCUGAACUCCUUGACUUCUAAUAAAUUCUUGGGUAUGGAAGAUACGUGGGCCCACAGACCACACUUUGAGGCUCCAAUUCCAACAUGGAAGACGAAGAGUUAUGAAGGGGAGCAGUGGUUUUCCAAGCUCAUUGAAGACAAAGAGUUAUGAAGGGGAGCAGUGGUUUUCCAAGCUCAUUGAAGACAAAGAGUUAUGAAGGGGAGCAGUGGUUUUCCAAGCUCAUUGAAGACAAAGAGUUAUGAAGGGGAGCAGUGGUUUUCCAAGUUCACUUAGUUCUUAACCAGCAGCCUCAGUCCCACCUGACCACAGCCCUGCUACAAAUGCAGAUCCGAGGUCCCGAACGCAGACCUACAUAAUCAGAAGCCUAUGUUUCAGCAAGCCCUCCCACUGAUUCUGAUUCACAGCUAAGCUUGAGAAUCACUGGAAUAGAAGACAGUGCACUUAUAAUAAGAUGUAAAGAGAAACAAGAAAAAGUUAAAAAUGGGGGAAUAAAGUUAAACUAUACAAUUUUGAUUAGUUUCUUCUUUGCUUGCUUGUUAAAUUGCUUCUUUAUGCAAUCACUAUUAAUUUCUCAUGAGUUUAAAUUAAUGGGGUAUAAGAGAUUUUUUUCCAAACCUUACAGUCACCUCAAACCAAAAUCAUACAGCAGAUACACAAAAAGU
rnacentral:lncRNA from 1 species